AAUGCGUAUAAGAUCCAGAAACAGCCACCACACCAAGAUUAGACUUCAAGGCGUCAGAAUGAUUAGAGAAGAGCCAGUCUUUGCUUCGAACCCCUACAAACGAUCUCAACAAACCACUACACGCCGCACCACCACAAUCUCUCCAUAUCAGAGCAGAAAAUUAGGCGCUCAAGCUCGCGGUGUUGGUCGACCACGACUGGGUGGCACUUCAACUUACCCCGGCUAACGGGCACAAGGAUUGUUUCAUGAACGAUGUCGCAAAACCACGACUGGGACGAGGGUAAUACCUGAAUGUCAUGUAGUCAGUGAUAUUUGUUUGGUCAUUACGGUGCUUUAUACAAGUUCCCUGUUGGCUUCAACGCAAUAAACCUUUAUUUUUAUGA
rnacentral:lncRNA from 1 species